UACGGGGGGAGCAAGCGUUGUUCGGAUUUACUGGGCGUAAAGAGCGCGCAGGCGGUCGUGCAAGUCGCGUGUGAAAGCCCCCGGCUCAACUGGGGAGGGUCACGCGAUACUGCUCGACUCGAAGGCAGGAGAGGGAAGUGGAAUUCCCGGUGUAGUGGUGAAAUGCGUAGAUAUCGGGAGGAACACCAGUGGCGAAGGCGACUACCUGGCCUGUUUCUUGACGCUGAGGCGCGAAAGCUAGGGGAGCAAACGGG
rnacentral:rRNA from 1 species